rnacentral:rRNA from 1 species
UUGAUGGUGCUUGCACCUGAUUGACGAUGGAUCACCAGUGAGUGGCGGACGGGUGAGUAACACGUAGGUAACCUGCCCCGGAGCGGGGGAUAACAUUUGGAAACAGAUGCUAAUACCGCAUAACAACAAAAGCCACAUGGCUUUUGUUUGAAAGAUGGCUUUGGCUAUCACUCUGGGAUGGACCUGCGGUGCAUUAGCUAGUUGGUAAGGUAACGGCUUACCAAGGCGAUGAUGCAUAGCCGAGUUGAGAGACUGAUCGGCCACAAUGGAACUGAGACACGGUCCAUACUCCUACGGGAGGCAGCAGUAGGGAAUCUUCCACAAUGGGCGCAAGCCUGAUGGAGCAACACCGCGUGAGUGAAGAAGGGUUUCGGCUCGUAAAGCUCUGUUGUUGGAGAAGAACGUGCGUGAGAGUAACUGUUCACGCAGUGACGGUAUCCAACCAGAAAGUCACGGCUAACUACGUGCCAGCAGCCGCGGUAAUACGUAGGUGGCAAGCGUUAUCCGGAUUUAUUGGGCGUAAAGCGAGCGCAGGCGGUUGCUUAGGUCUGAUGUGAAAGCCUUCGGCUUAACCGAAGAAGUGCAUCGGAAACCGGGCGACUUGAGUGCAGAAGAGGACAGUGGAACUCCAUGUGUAGCGGUGGAAUGCGUAGAUAUAUGGAAGAACACCAGUGGCGAAGGCGGCUGUCUGGUCUGCAACUGACGCUGAGGCUCGAAAGCAUGGGUAGCGAACAGGAUUAGAUACCCUGGUAGUCCAUGCCGUAAACGAUGAGUGCUAGGUGUUGGAGGGUUUCCGCCCUUCAGUGCCGGAGCUAACGCAUUAAGCACUCCGCCUGGGGAGUACGACCGCAAGGUUGAAACUCAAAGGAAUUGACGGGGGCCCGCACAAGCGGUGGAGCAUGUGGUUUAAUUCGAAGCUACGCGAAGAACCUUACCAGGUCUUGACAUCUUGCGCUAACCUUAGAGAUAAGGCGUUCCCUUCGGGGACGCAAUGACAGGUGGUGCAUGGUCGUCGUCAGCUCGUGUCGUGAGAUGUUGGGUUAAGUCCCGCAACGAGCGCAACCCUUGUUACUAGUUGCCAGCAUUAAGUUGGGCACUCUAGUGAGACUGCCGGUGACAAACCGGAGGAAGGUGGGGACGACGUCAGAUCAUCAUGCCCCUUAUGACCUGGGCUACACACGUGCUACAAUGGACGGUACAACGAGUCGCAAGCUCGCGAGAGUAAGCUAAUCUCUUAAAGCCGUUCUCAGUUCGGACUGUAGGCUGCAACUCGCCUACACGAAGUCGGAAUCGCUAGUAAUCGCGGAUCAGCAUGCCGCGGUGAAUACGUUCCCGGGCCUUGUACACACCGCCCGUCACACCAUGGGAGUUUGUAACGCCCAAAGUCGGUGGCCU